AUUGAACGCUGGCGGCAGGCCUAACACAUGCAAGUCGAACGGUAACAGGAAGCAGCUUGCUGCUUUGCUGACGAGUGGCGGACGGGUGAGUAAUGUCUGGGAAACUGCCCGAUGGAGGGGGAUAACUACUGGAAACGGUAGCUAAUACCGCAUAACGUCGCAAGACCAAAGAGGGGGACCUUAGGGCCUCUUGCCAUCGGAUGUGCCCAGAUGGGAUUAGCUAGUAGGUGGGGUAACGGCUCACCUAGGCGACGAUCCCUAGCUGGUCUGAGAGGAUGACCAGCCACACUGGAACUGAGACACGGUCCAGACUCCUACGGGAGGCAGCAGUGGGGAAUAUUGCACAAUGGACGCAAGCCUGAUGCAGCCAUGCCGCGUGUAUGAAGAAGGCCUUCGGGUUGUAAAGUACUUUCAGCGGGGAGGAAGGGAGUAAAGUUAAUACCUUUGCUCAUUGACGUUACCCGCAGAAGAAGCACCGGCUAACUCCGUG
rnacentral:rRNA from 1 species